CAGACCCUGGAGCUCCUCUCUGAGAAUGAACACGUACAUGCAAAUAUGACAGCAGAGAAUAUCCUCAUGAAUCCUGAGGACCUGACCUAGAUUCCAUGAGACAAGAAUUCCAGCAUGACACAAUACCCUGGCUUGUUUCUGCUACAUCACAUCAUGGCCAAUCUGGGAAGAUACAUAAUCUGGAAGGACGUCCACAGCCUAAGAAGAACUCGUUAACAUUGUUCAAGGAAUGUCCCAAGAGAGGGAAGGGGAAGCUUUCAGGUAUCUUGAAGCCUUGGUGUCAGUCAGCACUGCUACAGUUUGAUCUCUCCAUUCUACUGUCACAUCAAGUCAGAAGGCCAUUUCAGACUUGAGGCUGGCCAGAGAAACACUCCCACUUCAUGGGAAGAGCAACAGAAUAUUAUAGGAAUGGUUUUCCAGUCUACCACACGGACCUUCCACCUGUUAUGUGCUUUCUUCAAAAUUGAGUUCAAUAUAUGGCUUAACCUCCAAAAGAUGUUCUUACUAUAAACUUUUAUAUAUUCACUUUUGA